AGUGGUGGCACUUUUGCCUUUUUUCCUCAAAAUGCUAAUAUCAUUUCCCAAUAUACAGCAGAUUUGUAAAUUAUUUCUGCUAUUCCAUUUAGCUUUCCUUUGCUUAGUUUCACUUUCUAUUUCUAUAUAUUUAUUGCUUAUUAGUGUUUUACAUGUGCUGUCUUUCUUCAACUUCAGUUGCCAUAUGGCUGAUAACUAUAAUCAGUACCUGUUAUACUUUACAUCACAGCCGCAUGGGUCUUUCUUCUAUUAGCAGGUCAGAACUCGGAUCCUUUUGCUCAGUGUGCUGGCUGUCUGACCUCCUCUGACCUAAAAGGUGUUUUCUUCUUGAAGGGGUUGGAAGGGAUCUCAAGAGAUUGAGUCCAAACACCCUGCUAAAACAGGUGCCCUGCAAUAAGUUGCACAGGGUCUGGGAUUCCUGAGGGCUACUCUUAGUAAUGAAGACUGAAGAAAAGAAGGCAUUCAGACUCUCUGCCUUCCCAGCAUUCCCUGUUACCAAGGCAGCCACCUCAUUUAGUAGGGGACCCACAUUUUUCCUAGAGAGUGGACAACUGUUUUGGUGUGCCUGAGAUGAGACAUUGUAAA